UACGUAGGGUGCGAGCGUUGUCCGGAAUUAUUGGGCGUAAAGGGCUCGUAGGCGGUCUGUUGCGUCAGGAGUGAAAACUCGGGGCUUAACCCCGAGCCUGCUUCUGAUACGGGCAGACUAGAGGUAUGCAGGGGAGAACGGAAUUCCUGGUGUAGCGGUGAAAUGCGCAGAUAUCAGGAGGAACACCGGUGGCGAAGGCGGUUCUCUGGGCAUUACCUGACGCUGAGGAGCGAAAAUGUGGGAGCGAACAGG
rnacentral:rRNA from 1 species